UACAGAGGGUGCGAGCGUUGUCCGGAUUUACUGGGCGUAAAGCGCGCGCAGGCGGCAGUCUAAGUCCUCUGUGAAAUCACCCGGCUCAACUGGGUGGCUGCGGAGGAGACUGGGCAGCUUGUGGGGCCUAGAGGCCGGUGGAACUCCCGGUGUAGUGGUGAAAUGCGUAGAGAUCGGGGAGAACACCAGUGGCGAAGGCGGCCGGCUGGGGGCGCCCUGACGCUGAGGCGCGAGAGCGUGGGGAGCAAACCGG
rnacentral:rRNA from 1 species